UGGGGUAAUCCUGUGUGAAG
rnacentral:misc_RNA from 1 species